ACCAAAAAUUUGAACAGUGUAUAGUGGAGUUUCCAACAAAGAGCAUAAUGUCCGAAAUUAAUGGUAAUCACUAGAGCUAAAUUCCCAUUGUUUAUUUUAUUUUCAGACCCUUUCAUUGUGUGGAGAAUGAUAUUUAUGAUUAAUUUCAAGAAGCACAAAAUAACAAAGUUUUGCGAAAUUGUGCUCAUUAUAAUUUACUCACUCAUUCACUGUUUACUGUUAUACUACAUGUUCACAAACUUCAGUGUAAAUCUCUUAAUUAGAUAUGGAGCAAUGACAAUAUUCUACAUAUUUAUGAUUGCGGCAACAAUUUUUUAUGUCGCUUUCGAAGAAGAAUUAUCUGAAGGGCUCACAUUUUUGGAUGAAAUUUCUUGGCCCCUUAGUACGAUAAGAAAAGAAGCUUAACUAAAACUCGAAAGAAAAUGUCGUAUCAUAAAUAUGUGUAUAGCAUUUGUUCUGCUAAUGAUUCUGAGUGAAAUCAUUGUCAACUAUCCGUGUUUUGGAGAUCAGAAAGACUUUUUCAUUUGUGUUAAAGUUUUCGAGGAAUAUUUUGGCAAAUGGUCGUUUAUUCCUUACUAUUUUUAUUUCAUAGCAUCUCCGUUUUUUUAUUAUUAUUACUUUAGGCUUUGUUUUACUUUUGUUUACGCAGUUUUAGAAGCAGAAUUACAAUUCUUCCUCAUUGAAGGAUAUUUGUUGCAAACGUAUAAAAUGGAUUAUUUGAAACGUUGGAAAUGUUUAAAAGAUACUCGAUAUCAACAAGAGCUAGGAAAAUCGUUACGACUUUGUAUUGCCCAUCACGUUGCUUUAAAAAAGUUGGUCAAAAUGAUAGUGAAGAUUACACUGAAUGGCAUGCCGCUUUUUUGCUGCUUGGGUUUCUUCUUUAUAUCAGUUAUUUUACAUUUGUUAUAAAUCUCGCCGACUCCAUGACCAACAUUUUAAAAAUACGAAUUUUCUUGUUGGGUACAAAUUGUCUAUGCGUUACUGUUCUUUUGUGUUGGAAUGGCCAACAAAUAAUAGAUGUGACAAACAGUAUUUUCUCUACUUUAAUUGGAGCUCCUUGGUACUUUUGGGAUCUUGACAACAUUAAAAUUCUGCUGAUGUUCAUAACGAAUUGUACCAAGAAUGAUUGCAUUGUUCUGGCCGGGAUUUGUUUAGAUUACAAACUUUUUGCUUCUCUAUUUGUUACGAAUCUCCUUCUCGUAUGCUCUAGUUUUGUUCAACCUUCGCAAACAAAACAACUCUUGAAACAACCAAAAUUAAUACAAUCUUCCGUACCUUAAGCCGUCAUUUUACAAUUUAGUAGAAGUAGGUACAGAAAAACAUGCUCUGUAUUGCACAGAAAAAAUAUUUUUGAGUGGUAUUACAAGGCGAAUUUGAUAAAAGAAUUUUUUUCUUUAUCUAAAUUAUAAUACUUAAUCAGUAAUCACCCAGACAUCAGCGUUUGCUAUUAAAUACUUCUAUUUUUUUUUCUCUAUAUAUGUAAAUUUUUUCAGACUACAUAUUUCUACAAUUUCUUCAAUAAAUAUUUAUUAAACAAAAUAUUGAUCAAAGUUUAAUAAUUUCCAGUGUCAUACUAUAAUAAAUGAUGCUUAAUAGCACACACUAAUAUAGACGGCCGACUUCAUAUGAAAAGUUGUCCGCACUAUCUCUCUCACUCUUUUGUAUUAUAAUUUAUAUAGCUCUAUCUUCGUUAUUUGUUGUAAACCCCUAUUCAGGUGUCGCUACUGUCGCACUAUGAAAAUGUGGAUAAAACAUGAAACUGUAACGAACAUUAUAUUAUUUGUAUUAAUUAGAAGUCACUAACAGUUACAAUUUUUUUUCUGUUAAAUUUGAAAAUUUGUUGAGUUUUGUUUUCAAAAAAAUUUUGUUUCUCGUUUUGUUUUAUAUAAUGAAACUACGCUAAAUACUUGAUCGUAAUCUCCAGAUGAAUUCGGAAACUUCAAAAAAUAUGAAAAGUGUAUUGAAAUGAUAUAAAGAUUGAUAAAAACAAAGCUAUAAAAAACUUGUCUGAGAACGUCACGUUUCAAUCGAUGGAGUAAACUGUCCGAAGUCUAACUACACUAACUUCUAGAGAAACGUUAGCUUAGGUAUGAGAAAUUACAAAAAAUUUUUCAUUGCAAAUGUUAAAUGGAACGUGUUUAAACUUUAAAUCUCAAAAUGCAAACUAAUUACGAAAAGGAUAAAAAGAAAAGUCAAAGACAAAAUCUGGAUAUAUAAAAAAAAGAACAGGUGAAGAAUAAUUGAAGAGAAAAUCUGCUGAAUACGAUCUACAAAACUUAUGAAGUGGUGCUAGAUAAGAAACUAAAAAUAAUUCUUUGAAUUUUAAAAAUUUGAAAAACUCGGGCCCACUUACACAUUUUAUGGACUACUUUGCUCAUAUCAGAAACGAUUCCAGUGAGGACAUGUGAGUAUUAACGGACGAUUCCAAGAAGAGUUUUUAAAACAGCUAGAAGGAAUUACCUACAAACCAUUUUUUCAAAAUUAAUAACCUUAAAUGAAUAUUUUACAAUCUUAGAUACUGAUGGUAGAAUAGGUGUAGCUUGAUCUCAGAUAUUUUAUUCAUCACAUUCUUUAAUGACUUUUCGAUAUUUGCGCAUAAAAAUUUUGAAUAGUGUAUAGUGGAGAGUUUCCAACACAGCAUGGUUGAAUUUAAUGACCCAUUCAUUGUAUGGAGACUGAUAUUUAUGAUUAAUUUCAAAAAGUACAAAAUACCAAAGUUUUGCGAAAUUGCGCUCAUUGUAAUUUACUCGCUCAUUCACUGUUUGCUGUUAUACUACAUUUUCACAAACUUCAAUGUAAAUCUCGUAAUUAGGUAUGGACCCAUAAUGAUAUUCUACAUAUUUAUGAUUGCGGCCACAAUUUUUUCCGUCGCUUUGGAAGAAGAACUAUCUGGAGGGAUCGCAUAUUUGGAUGAAAUUUCUUGGCCCCUUAGUACGAUAGGAAAAGAAGCCCAACUAAAGCUCAAGAGAAAAUGUCGUAUCAUAAAUAUGUGUAUAGCGUUUGUUCUGCUAAUUAUUCUAAGUGAAAUCAUUGUCAACUAUCCGUCUUUCGGAGAUCAGAAAGAUUUUUUCAUUUGUGUUAAAGUUUUCGAUGAUUAUUUCGGCGAAUGGUCGUCUAUUCCCUACUACUUUUAUUUCACUGCAUCUCCGUUUUUUUAUUAUUAUUACUUUAAGCUUUGUUUUACUUAUGUUUACGCAGUUUUAGAAACGCAACUGCAAUUCUUCCUUAUUGAAGGAUAUUUGUUGCAAACGUAUAAAAUCGAUAAUUUGAAACGUUGGGAAUAUUUAAAAGAUACUCGAUAUCAACAAGAACUAGGAAAAUCGUUACAAUUUGCUAUUGCCCAUCACGUUGCUUUAAAAAAGUCUAAAGCGCUCUCAGUGGAGGAAUCAAUGUCUUUAAUAAAUUAUUUUUAGGAUGGUCAAUGUUAUAGUAAGUCUUUCAGUGAAUGGCAUGCCGCUGUUUUUGCUGCUUGGGUUUCUUCUUUACAUUAGUUGUUUUACAUUUGUCAUAAAUCUCGCCGACACCAUGACCAACAUUUUAAAAAUACGAAUUUUUUUGUUGGGCGCAAGUUGUGUUUGCGUUACUGUUCUUUUGUGUUGGAAUGGCCAACAAAUAAUAGAUGUGACAAACAGCAUUUUCUCUACUUUAACUGGAGCUCCUUGGUACUUUUGGGAUCUUGACAACGUUAAAAUUCUUCUGAUUUUCAUAACGAAUUGUACCAAGAAUGAUAGCAUAACAAUGGCUGGGAUUUGUUUAGAUUACAAACUGUUUGCUUCUUUGUUACGAAUCUCCUUCUCGUAUGCUCUAGUUUUAUUCAACCUUCGCAAAAGUUCUCUCUCUUGAAUCAUCCAAAAUUAAUACAAUCUUCUAUAUCUUAAGCCUUCAUUCUACAUACUCGUAUUUAGGCACAGGAAAGCAUUCUCUCUGUGUUUUGUACAGCAAUAAUUAUUUUUGGUGAAAACACAGAAGACAAAAUAAACAACUUCUCUGUUGAAAGCUAUUUUGAAUUGCUCUCUUAGGAUUUUUUACCUUUGUGGAUUUGGACUGUUUCAAUAGAAAAACAGAGAAAAAAUUAAUCCUACAUACAUAAAUCAUUAUAACAAUUUAAGAUGCACCUAAUAUACAAACUGAGUCUGCUUUAAUUUAACGCUCCUUUAAAUUUAAUAAUAAAAUUGAGUACAUUUAAAUGCUAGCUUAAAAAUGUAACGACCUACACAUUGAGUAAAUUUAUUUUUUGGGUUUAGCAGAAUUUUUUACGUGUUUUUGUGCAUUAUAUAUCUAUUUUAAAGAAUGUCAAUAAUAAUAAUACUUUAUAGUAGGUAUAUGUUUUUUCAAUGACUUAAUAAUAUUAAUUCUGUAAUUAGUCAUGAGAAAUUAAAGAAAAAUUAUGAAAAAAUUCACAUAUAUUCACAUUUCAAAAAAAUAAUAAACAGAAUUGUUUUUUUACAAUUGGAUGUUGUUCCUAGACUUACAUUAUUAGUAUAACAGGUGUUUAAACAGCUUAACAAUUUUAAUGUUUUUAUGGAAAACCCUAAAUACAGUAUUAUAAGUAAGUCAUAUAUAGGAUCCUUAAAAAAAUUUAUCAAUAAUCUUUUGAAAAUUUUUUAAUAAAAAAAUUAAAUGACCAAAAAUGAUAUUUUUUCAUUUUAUUCUUAAAUGGUACGAAUUUGUUUUUAAUUUGUACAAUAUUAUUGUUAAGACCGUAAGAAAGUUAUAAUAUUUUUUCUUUUAUAGGAAAAUAAAUCGAUCGAGUAUUUACGUUUAAACUCGGCUGUAAAUAUUUAUUACGAGACAAGAACUGGUCUGUGCGAUAAUAAUUUAUCUUAGGACUAACAUCUAUUUGUGAAAAAAAAACGAUUUUGUUUAUUAUUUUUCUUAAAAAUUGAGUCUCAAAUUUGUGCACUGUGUGCUCAGUAUAGUUCUACCUUAAGAUUGAUAUUAUCUUCUUCUUUACCUUAUUCAUUAGUAGGUACUUCUGACUGUAUGCAGUGAAGAGUCUAUUUUGUUGAACAUUGGCGUUUAUAUGUUACUUUGCAAUUCAUAAAAUUUUAGAACUGAAGUACUGAUCAUAGGAUAAUACAAUAACUAAUAGACACAUACUAUGUAAUGUCCAGCGAAAUAAACUUUUUACCAUACAAUACAGAAGAUUUAAGAACUCUAGGAUUAAUAGUGUUAUGUGUGUUAUGUGAUGUUCAGUAAGAUAUAAAUCUCAGUGUAUACACGCUUUAAAUAAAGUACAUACAUUAAUUUUAACUGGUAAUAGUACUCGUCAAGACCAACAAUUUUUCCUUAUAACUCUUUUUAAACAUCUUAGUUUUUGAGUUAAAAUUAUUUUAAAAUCUUACACAAUUUUCUUACAUGCCACUGAAAGCAAAGUUACCUAGUCGACAAAAAUACCGUUUCCAAGCAAGUUCAUAAAAAUAAAAUAAAAUAAAAUUUAUUAUUACUUUUCUUUGUUGGAACUUUUCAGAAAAAGCUCGUCAAUUUGUAGAAAGAAAUACGAUUUUAAAAAAUGCGAUUUUGAAAAAAUAGUACAUAGAAAAAGUGUUUGCCUUGAUGAGUUCUACCACUGGUUAAAAUUUCGCUUAUUUCGCUUACACCUUGUAUGCAUUUCGAAUAGCUUACUAAGUUAAAUAAUAAAUCUUAGAGAUAAACCCCCUUUCUGCGUUUUGAUUUCCCCAUUUUUGCAUAAAGAAUAAUACUUUUGUAUACCACAUUUCGUUUUUUAAUUUUUUUAUAAAAUUUUAUUUGAAAUAUUGUGAGUCGCUUACACAUUUUACGGGCUACUUCGGUCAAAUGUUAUUAGAGACUAUUUCAACCCUGACAUGUGAGUAUUGAAACGUACUAUUUUACGGAUAAUUUCAGGAAUUUUUUUUAAACCAACUAGGAGGAAUUAAUAACAUUAAAUAAAUAUUUUACAAUUUUAGCUAUUAGUGAAGUAAUGAGUAUAGCUUGAUCUCAAAUAUUUUAUUCAUCACAUUCUUUAACGACUUUUCGAUAAUUGCGCAGAAAAAAGUUUUGAAUAGUGUACAGCGGAGAGUUUCCAACACAGCAUGAUGUCCGAAUUUAAUGGUAAUGAUUAGAGCUAAAUUCCAAUUAUUUAUGUAAUUUUCAGACCCCUUCAUUGUGUGGAGAAUGAUAUUUAUGAUUAAUUUCAAGAAGCACAAAAUAACAAAGUUUUGCGAAAUUGUGCUCAUUGUAAUUUUCUCACUCAUUCAUUGUUUACUGUUAUACUACAUGUUCACAAACUUCAGUGUAAAUCUCUUAAUUAGAUAUGGACCAACGACACUAUUCGGCAUAUUUGUAAGUAAAAAAACUUAUCUUUAAUGCAAUGAUUUUUUUUUAGAUUAUUGCGGUUACAAUUUUUUCUGUCGCUUUGGAAAAAGAACUAUCAGGAGGGAUCGAUAUUCUGGAUGAAAUUUGUUGGCCUUUUAAUAUGAUAGGAAAAGAAGCCCAACUAAAGCUCGAAAGAAAAUGUCGUAUGAGAAACAUGUGUACAGCAUUUGUUGUGCUAAUUAUUCUAACUACAAUCAUUGUCAGCUAUCCGUGUUUUGGAGAUCAGAGAGAUUUUUUCAUUUGUAUUAAAGUUUUCGAGGAAUAUUUUGGCGAAUGGUGGUCGAUUCCCUACUACUUUUAUUUCAUUACAAUUCCGUUUUUUUGUUAUAAUUACCAUAAGCUUUGUUUUACUUUUGUUUACGCAGUUUUAGAAACGGAAUUGCAAUUCUUUCUCAUUGAAGAAUACUUGUUGGAAACGUUUAAAAUGGGUUAUUUGAAACGUUGGAAAUAUUUAGAAAAUACUCAAUAUCAACAAGAACUAGGAAAAUCGUUACGAUUCACUAUUGCCCAUCACAAUGCAUUAAAAAAGUCCUAAGGCGCUCUCAGUGAAGGAAACCUAUAAUAAAUUAUUUUUAGGAUGGUCAAAGCGAUAGUAAAUGUUACAGUGAAUGGCAUGCCGCUGUUUUUGCUGCUUGGGUUUCUUCUUUACAUUAGUUGUUUUACAUUUGUCAUCAAUCUCGCCGACUCCAUGACCAACAUUUUAAAAAUACGAAUUUUUGUGUGUGGCGCAAGUUGUGUUUCCGUUACCGUUCUUUUGUGUUGGAAUGGCCAACAAAUAAUAGAUGUGACAAACAGCAUUUUCUCUACUUUAACUGGAGCUCCAUGGUACUUUUGGGAUGUUGACAACGUUAAAAUUCUUCUGAUUUUCAUAACGAAUUGUACCAAGAAUGAUAGCAUAACAAUGGCUGGGAUUUGUUUAGAUUACAAAUUGUUCGCUUCUUUGUUACGAAUCUCCUUCUCGUAUGCUCUAGUUUUAUUUAACCUUCGCAAAAGUUCUCUCUCUUGAAUCAUCCAAAAUUAAUACAAUCUUCUAUAUCUUCAGCCUUCAUUCUACAUACUCGUAUUUAGGCACAGGAAAGCAUUCUCUCUGUGUGUUUUGUACAGAAAUAAUUAUUUUUGGUGAAAACACAGAAGACAAAAUAAAAACUUCUCUGUUGAAAGCUAUUUUGAAUUGCUCUCUUAGGAUUUUUUACCUUUGUGAAUUUGGACUGUUUCAAUAGAAAAACAGAGAAAAAAAUAAUCCUACAUACAUAAAUCAUUAUAACAAUUUAAGAUGCACCUAAUAUACAAACUGAGUCUGCUUUAAUUUAACGCUCCUUUAAAUUUAAUAAUGAAAGUGAGUACAUUUA